rnacentral:piRNA from 1 species
UCAGAUUGUGACUUCUUCCCCUUCCUGA